GUCACGUGACUCCGUGUCACGUGGGAAAUACAUUCUUCUGGGCUGGACAAAAGGAUGGGUGGUAUAUUCAUCACAAGGCCGGAUGACGUGACUCUUAGAAGACGACAAUACCCGGCAAACCGGAAGGCUGUCGGAGAAUGAGGAAGAGCACAUUACAGGUGGAGUUACUCAAUCAUGGAAACCACAGCAUGAUUAUUUGAAGACUUAACUAGCAGUACUGCAAUUGGAUUCAUAGAAUAAGAAUUGGAUAAAAGAACAUGGGAAAUGCAGACAAUUAACAAAA